UACGUAGGGGGCAAGCGUUGUCCGGAUUUAUUGGGCGUAAAGAGCGUGUAGGCGGCCAGAUAGGUCCGUUGUGAAAACUGGAGGCUUAACCUCCAGACGUCGACGGAAACCGCGUGGCUAGAGUCCGGAAGAGGAGAGUGGAAUUCCUGGUGUAGCGGUGAAAUGCGUAGAUAUCUGGAGGAACACCCGUGGCGAAGGCGGCUCUCUGGGAGCGGUACCGACGCUGAGACGCGAAAGCGUGGGGAGCGAACAGGG
rnacentral:rRNA from 1 species